GCCCGGGUGGCGAAAGUGGUAUCCGCUGGCCUCUUAAAAAGGCCUGUCCCCAAGUGGGGCGUGGGGGUUCGAGUCCCUCCCCGGGCA
rnacentral:tRNA from 1 species